rnacentral:lncRNA from 1 species
UUCUAAUAAAACAUAUUAAAUUACGUUCAAAUAUCUAAAACUAACUUGCCUUGUAUACAUAAUUUAAUAUUAUAUAUACGUACAAUUAUAAUUUAUACAAAUUUGUACGAUUUUUUACUUUUACUGAAAUGGUAUAUCGGAGAAUCGUUCCAGGUUGGGACCCUUCUUUAUCCCUGGAUCUGUUCCUCUUCCUCCGACUUAAUAUUAUUUUAUUUAUCAAUAAUGACAAUGUACUACACUAUAUAUUUAGCUAUUAGGGCUAAAGUAAAUUUCGCAUUUUCAACACAAACAAAAUUCGAUUUCGAAAAUCGAUAAAUGGCUAAAUUACCUCGUAUGACAAUAAGACUUAUGCAUUUGUUGCAAAAAAAAAACAUAAUGACAUACGAUGUUUUAAUUUUAAGUAUAACACGUGUUAGGCCAAAAUAUAAAGGGACAAAAUUAGGUACUUAAUAAAAAAAAAAUUGACUUUAGCCCUUCUUGCCAGGGUCUAAAAUCAAAUUGUACUGUAUAUAAUAUUAUUAUAUUUCGCGAACGAGAAAGUUUGCCAAUGAUGUUAAUUAUAAUAUAAAAGAAAAUAAUUAUAAUUAUUGAAUUCUACCUACAGUGUGUAGAGGUAUAAAUUAUGUAACAAAUGUGUUAACACGCGUUAACAGCAACAUUAAAAUCAUGACCGAGGUGUUGUUUUGCGGCCGGAGGCGAAUUAAUUUUUGGACGUACCGUUGGUGGCGAAGGGUUAAAUAAAUAUGUAUACGUUAAUAAAAGCGAAAAGUCUCGACCAUAGUGUUCCGUAUAAUGAAUUCUGAAUAAAAUCGGUACACCGACCUAUAAAUUAAAUCUGGUGGGUCGCGAUUCGAUGUAAUAUAUUAUAAUUACGAUCAACAGACAAACGCGGAACAAGAGUAUGUACGUAAAAGAUACGUCGUUAUUUAUUUCGUAUACGAAAUGGGCUUUUAAAGUGCACGAAAACAAAAAUGAUCUAUACGAACGGUUAGGACCUCCUCUUCCGUCUCACUCCCCUUCCCCCCUCGCCGUUUACGAAUAAAGCUCCCGCGAAGUUCUCGAUCGGAGCUAGUCUUCUGGUUGAAAACGUAAUUUAUUGUUUCGCGCGCGCAGGGAGAAAAAUAAUACGAAAACACCUUAUAUACAGUAGGUAAUAAACCAAUACGGCCGCGCUCAGAAUCUAAAAAAAAAAAAAAAAAGGAAAAGAAAACAACAACGCGCCGUAUGAGAUUAUUAAAACGGAUCGUUCGGAAUGUAGGUACGCCACGACAACGCGUUAACGAUAAUUUACGAUCGACGACGGGUAAAAACGGAACGUGAUAAUAUUCUUAUUGUUGCCGCAAUAACAGCCAGUAUACCUAAUAAUAAUAAUCGUACGACAGAAUUCGAUUAGUCCUGCUGCGGAGAUUUAUGUUUAUUAUUGUUAUGUGCGGAAACGAGCGGUGCUCUAUCGACUAUCGACUUGCGCCACUCCUCCGCCACUCUUCUAUAUCCCUCAAUGAUGCGAUGAUGUGAGAACACGAGAUCGUAAUAAUUAAUUGUUAUACGAUGUGCUGUGGCCGCGACUGCGACUUUGUGCCUUAUUAAAUUUUUUCGCGCAUUUCGCUACUGGCCACUAAUGAACAAAGAAAAAAAAAUACCAAACAAACG